ACGCUUCCUUCGGGAAGCGAGCGUACACAGGUGCUGCAUGGCUGUCGUCAGCUCGUGUCGUGAGAUGUGGGUUAAGUCCCGCAACGAGCGCAACCCUGCAUUCAGUUGCCAUCGGUAAGGCCGGGCACUCUGGAUGGACUGCCGGCGACAAGCCGGAGGAAGGUGGGGACGACGUCAAGUCAUCAUGGCCCUUAUGUCCAGGGCGACACACGUGCUACAAUGGCCGGCACAACGGGAAGCGAAGGGGCGACCCUGAGCGGAUCCCACAAAAGCCGGUCUCAGUUCGGAUUGCAGUCUGCAACUCGACUGCAUGAAGUUGGAAUCGCUAGUAAUCGUGGAUCAGCCAAGCCGCGGUGAAUACGUUCCCGGGCCUU
rnacentral:rRNA from 1 species